CGUUCCUCCCGAGUCAUAUACACUAUUAGUUUGUCGCAGGGUUUGAGGAAGAGACAAGUGGACAUGAUCAAGGAUGGAGUAUAUGGGAGCAGCCAAUCAUUGACCAGGGUGACUACACUGUUAAGAGAGAUCUGAGGUAAAGCAGUCAGGCAACUGGCUAGCUUUUGUUGCCAUAGAUGAGAGCAAAUUCAGACAUAAAAGAAAGUAUGGACGUGGACGACGUGGACACUCCUGGAGAAGACACUUGUGGGUCUUUGGAAUGGUGGAAGUCAAGGGAUGCCAUAGACGUCCAAUCUUAAAGCUUGUAAAAUAUCGAUCCAGGAAGCGACUGUUCCCAAUUAUCCAGAAGUACAUUAGACCUGGUAGUAAAGUGAUAAGUGAUAACUGGAGUGCCUACAACAGGUUAUCACGUCAUGGUUACAUUCACUAUCAGGUGAAUCACAGGAGACAUUUUUUCCACCAUGGGAGUGGUGCUCACACUCAGCAUACUGAACGGGCGUGGCGAAAUUAUAAAGAGGACAUUUACCAAUACAGAGGAAACCUGACAGAAAAGGCAUUAAAGAUGAACUUGAGGUUCACUGAGUGGAACUACUGGUUUGGAAAAGGAGCACAAGAAGGGUAUAUUAGACGCCUUUGCAAAGACAUCAGAGCGUGCUACCACGUUUAAGUGAUGCUGACGGGGUAAAUACUGCAGAUUUCCUAUCAUGUGAUUAAUAGCAUAUUUGAAAAAAAUUAAAUGAAAUAUAGACUCAGAGCUGUUCAGAGGCCAUAUUACAAGUGUCUGAUAUUACAAUGUGACACCCCAAAAACAAGGCUUCCUUUUAUAGUACAGUUUCACUUUACUUACUGAGAAUGAUAUAGUUAGUUAAGUUGCAGAACACACAUGGUAAACGUUUGUGAUUUCAUAAAUGUAUAACCAGUAGCAGAGGAUGUGGUAAGAGUCUGGUAAUACUAUAGAAAUAAACAAGGCCUCCUUCCGCA